rnacentral:tRNA from 1 species
GCGGCCGUAGCUCAUCUGGUAGAGCGCCACCUUGCCAAGGUGGAGGUAGCG